UGUGACCGUUAACUCCUACCGUUUCUUCUCCCCCUGCCUCUUUCUUCUUCCCUGCCUCUUUCUUCUCCGUUUCCUCCUCCCGGCGAAGGCCCGACCUCCAGCACCUGCACCUCUCACUGACGGGCACCUCCACCGCGCUUCGCGCCAGUAGCAAGGGUCGCCGCGCCCCGCGCCCAGGAGCAAGGCGAGCAAGGGACGCCGCGAGCGCACCCAGGAGCACGGGCUACCGCGCCCAGGAGCGCCACGAGCCGCGCCCAGGAGCGCCACGAGCCGCGCCCAGGAGCAAGGACCAAGGGACGCCGCGCGCCAUGGCCAGGGUUCAGGCCAACGCGCCCAGGAGCACGCGCUGCCGCGAGCCGAGCGCCAUGGCCAGGGGCUCGGGCUCGGGCCGCCGCGCCCAGGAAGAGGGAGGAGAGAGAGAGGUCGCGCCGCUGGGACUUCACGGCGGCUCCAGGCGGAGCUCGCCGGCAGGAGGAGGCGGCGGCCGAAGGGAGGUCCGCCGCGGCGCGUACUGCACGCUGACGGGCGCGUGAGGGAGCUCUGCGGUGGCGCGGCUCCUCUCGAGCUUGAGCACGCAAGGGACCCGAUUGCUUUUUUUUAAGUUUGCAGGGACCUGAUUGCUUUUUUCAAUUUUUACAGGGACCUGAUUGCUUUAAAAAAAUGUUUACAGGGACCCAAAUGCUUUAUUGACUUUUUUUAUUAGAUUAUGACAAAGAGACACUGACAUAUGGGCCCCACAUGUCAGUUAACGGUCAAACAAACGGUCAAACAAUCAGUUUUCUUACGUGCCGGGCCCAACUGUCAUAAUCACGAUCAAUAGUAAAGCACUGGACGAUUAGAGUUUUUGAUUAGAGUUUUUUGAAACAGCCGACCACCCACUUCGUAGUUAUCUGAGAAAAAUUAAAAACCAGUAGUUUUUUGGAACCUUAGCCUGUAAAGUAGUAGUUUUAUGCUAUUUACUCCUUAAACUGUUACUUAGAGGCAUUAUUUAUAACAAAAGAAUCAGGACAUGCUUGAAGAUUUAAUAUCCUUAUCAUGGGACGUGGAGGCCCUUAAGUUUGCAUUUGCUUGUUAAUUAAUAAACAACGUGCAUUAGUUAGCUAUAAUCAUUUCAUUUUUUUCCACGGACAUAAUGAUGAUGUUCAGUAGGAUUGUCAGUUUCACAUACUAGAGGUGUAUCAUUGUAACGUAAGGUUUAAGGAGAUCUAAUCUUGGGCAUAUCAGUGUAAGAGCACAACUUUGUACUUGAAUGCUUACUGUGUUUUUACUUUUUACAUGUUGGUGCAUCUAAGAAAGUAAAUUUGUUUGUGAUCUUCAAAUGGUUUGACAUUUAGUUUUGAGGAAUAAUAAAGCCUGAAUUUGGCCACAUUUUGGGGGAAGGAGGGCUAUAGUCUUUAUAAUCUAAUCUUAGCUUUACAGCUUUGUGAUUUGUUGACGAAAUGUAGCUCGAUGUAGUUUUGGAUGUAUUGGGACUAGGAUUUAAGCUUCUUUCCUUUGCAAGACAUGUACAUAAGUACCGUGUGCUAUAUAUAUGGGCUGGAAAAAUAGUGUUGAAACUCGGUUCGUAUAGGUGCUCCUAGAUAAGCAGCCGGGUCGUAUCUUUUGUACUACAUGUCAAAUAAAUAAUAUUAUUUCAUGUGUAUAUAUUUUUGAGGCUGUAUAAUUCCUCUUUAGGAACAUAUUUAAGUCUAUUGUGUAUAUAUUUUUUCUGUUUCUUUUUUAUGGUUUGUUUAGCUAUCUAAGAAUGCUGGCGAUGUGACUCCGUGUAGACCUUGGCUUGCACCAAAUCUAUGGGCUUAUGCAACUGCAGCGGGUGAACAAUGCAAAGCUGAUAGAAGGUGCUUUGCUCAUUCGCCCAGCAUCCGUUCCGUCAACCUGCAAGGUGUUUGCUUGUUCACUCGGCAUCAGUUCCAUCAAUUUGCAAGGUCUGAUGUAAUUUUGGAACUAGAUGGUUAUUCGGCCCGACUUGUUCAUGUAGUUCAUGGUACUACGUCUGCAAGCUACAUCUUGUGAAGAUUUGGUUACUGCAUUAUAUGGUGGUGUUUCACUUCCCUCGGUCAAGGAUUCUCUGGAGUAUUGGCAAUUGCAGGCUUCAUCAAUCAGAUCAUGUGUAGAGGAUUGAUGCUUCCUUGGUGUACUGAUAAUUUAACUUGUUUCAUGAGAUAAACUUCUUUUCUCAUAUGCUCUUUCUCUAUAUAACUGGGUCCAAAUACACAAUGAGGUUGUCUUUGAUUUGUUGUUGUGCUAGGCAUGAACAGAAUGGCUUCCUCUUCUUGCGAACCGCACUGAUGUUGGCUUCUGGUUUCUGCUGCAAUGGGUUAUUUACUAUGGACAAAUAUGACAACAUUCAUUAGGAGUAUUGUUUCUUGAGGCUGUGUCUCUGCUACAGGUUUUUCAUUCGACUGGAUCUCCUCACCUUGUCAUCUGAUUGCUCUUCGUUUGCUGCUCUGCUUACCAAGGAAAUACCAAAGGAAGUAGCUUGUCGUUUGAAUAUCCCAAGCACGGACUGGUGGGACUACAGUUUGGCAAGCAGCGCUUCACUAGCUAGGACUGAGUAUGAUGAACAAUCACAUGACGUCUGCAUCUUGUUCAAGCAUGGAUGCAAGAAAUUUCUCCUGAAAACAGGACUUGAGGUUGCUUGCUGUCCUCUCAUCAUGUAUAUUGGUGCAGUAUCUCCUAUUCUCUCUCGGAGAGAUGAGAUAAGGAUUACAGGGCUACCAAUAGCCCACCUAUAACGGGAGACAUCCCGAGUCAUUGUUGCAUGCUAGAGAACAACUAUCACGUUGGUGAUUUCCCUGAUAUUUGGUUCUACAAGUGUGUCAUAUGGACCAAUGAAAGCAAAGAUAUUCCGGAGAUAAUAACUACAUGGGCUACUCCAAAUGGUCUGACAGUGGAACCAACACCUUUUAUAGGCCUUCAAGUACCUGUGGAAGCCAUUGGCGCAACCGGGUCAUCUAGUAAGGGGAAAGACAAAGAGUUGAUUCCAAUGCAUGCAGAAGAAAGUCAUGAAGACAGCGAUGCUGAGGGUAGUGCAGCUAGAAAUUUCAUCGGCUUAAAGCCUCCAGAACGAAAACGUAAACCAGGUAGACCUACUACCAGCAGGGACAAGCUUCCAUAUGAUGAUUGAGGCGCAAAGAGCAAAAAAUUAAAGGACGCAACGAACGGAAAAGCUCCAGAUGGUUCUGGUACAAGCAAACAUACUCGUUUCUGCAGUAUAUGCCGUGGAGCUGGGCACAAGAGGUACUACAUGUCCGCAGAGAGGUGAUCUCCUUUGCAAAGAAAGGAAAGAGGCCAAAUGUUCAAACUGCGGGGUUGGUGGACACAAGAAGAACACCUGCAACAAACCUAAAGUGGUGCUGCAUGUUGUUGAAAAUGCAACCUUGGAGCAGAUUUUCAUCUAGAAAAAUCUGAAUUCUUUUGUAGUCGGCUCCGUAGGCAUAAUAGUUCUGUAGCCUCUUGUAAUGUUGAGUGCUCAUCCAUUAAUCAGUAGAACUAUUUCAGAUAAUCCUGGUGGCACUUUUCAUGAUCAGCUGCUGUCACGACUGUCUGUAUCUCUCUUUCCCGCACAUAACGUGACCACUUUCAUGUGUUAAAAACUUCCAUCAGCUCUGUCAAAUUGCGGGUGUUCAUUUGUAUUUCGUUCGAAAAUGACAUCAAGAAAAAAGAAUUUCCAUUCGGUGCCCUA